ensembl:snRNA U6 U6 spliceosomal RNA
GACAAUUACUGAUCAAUUUCUCAUUUUGGAAUUGGAAUGAUACUGAGAAGAUUAGCAAGGCCCCUGCUCAAGGAUGACAUGCAAAUUCAUGAAGGGUCCCAUACUUUU